rnacentral:rRNA from 1 species
AGUGAACGCUGGCGGUAGGCCUAACACAUGCAAGUCGAACGGCAGCACAGUAAGAGCUUGCUCUUACGGGUGGCGAGUGGCGGACGGGUGAGGAAUACAUCGGAAUCUACUUUUUCGUGGGGGAUAACGUAGGGAAACUUACGCUAAUACCGCAUACGACCUACGGGUGAAAGCAGGGGAUCUUCGGACCUUGCGCGAUUGAAUGAGCCGAUGUCGGAUUAGCUAGUUGGCGGGGUAAAGGCCCACCAAGGCGACGAUCCGUAGCUGGUCUGAGAGGAUGAUCAGCCACACUGGAACUGAGACACGGGCCAGACUCCUACGGGAGGCAGCAGUGGGGAAUAUUGGACAAUGGGCGCAAGCCUGAUCCAGCCAUACCGCGUGGGUGAAGAAGGCCUUCGGGUUGUAAAGCCCUUUUGUUGGGAAAGAAAAGCAGCAGGUUAAUACCCCGCUGUUCGGACGGUACCCAAAGAAUAAGCACCGGCGAACUUCGU